rnacentral:rRNA from 1 species
GUAUAGGAGGUCCAGCCUGCCCAGUGACCACAAGUUUAACGGCCGCGGUAUUUUGACCGUGCAAAGGUAGCGCAAUCACUUGUCUUUUAAAUGAAGACCUGUAUGAAUGGCCAAACGAGGGCUUAACUGUCUCCCAUCUCAAGUCAGUGAAAUUGAUCUGCCCGUGCAGAAGCGGACAUAAAAGUACAAGACGAGAAGACCCUUUGGAGCUUAAGGUACAAACCCAAUCGCGUCAAACAGCUUACCCAAUAAGCUCCAAACCUAGCGAAACAUGGAAUUUUACCUUCGGUUGGGGCGACCACGGAGAAAAAACUAUCCUCCGAGUGGACCGGGUUAACUUAACCUAAAACUAAGAGAGACAUCUCUAAGUCACAGAACAUCUGACCAAUAAUGAUCCGGCCAUAGGCCGAUCAACGGACCAAGUUACCCUAGGGAUAACAGCGCAAUCCUCUCCCAGAGUCCAUAUCGACGAGGGGGUUUACGACCUCGAUGUUGGAUCAGGACAUCCUAAUGGUGCAGCCGCUAUUAAGGGUUCGUUUGUUCAACGAUUAAAGUCCUACGUGAUCUGAUUUCAGACCGGA